rnacentral:lncRNA from 1 species
AUUAUUUUUGAGAAAAAUCCUUCUCCUAUGCCUAAGGGAGAAGUGAAUAUUGUUGGGCAUUUUCAAUUUUUAUCAUCAAUAAAAUGCAAUUUUAUUCAUCCACAUCUAUGAUGUUUUUAUUUUUAUUUUUUUCUUUUUUGAAAAUGGUAAUCACCUAAAACAUAAAUAAAUAAUAAUAAAUUGUCCAUCUGCAUAAUAUUUUG